rnacentral:lncRNA from 1 species
GGUGAAAGGAAAGAAAAGCUUCUCUGGGCGUGGGGCUAAGUUUGAGGGACACUGGAGUCCUCCCUUCACAUCUGAGACUUGGAUUUGAAGCUCUGCAUUGCUAUCUGUUUUUCAUGGAUUGGUCCAGAUUUUACUUCUCCUGAGAAAUUUCCAGUGACCCACCCUCCCUUCCCCACACCACCCACAGUUAAGUAAGGUUCCUUUCCCGGCUCUCAUGGUACCAUCUGUUUUUCCAUCCUAGCACUUCUUAUAUCCUAUUUAAAUUAACUUAGCAAUUUAAUUUAAAUUGACUAGAUUGUCAGCUCUCCAAGGAGCAAGAUCCUGUCUUGUUCCUUGUCGGUCCCCACCUGGCAAGAUAGUGGUGUCUCAAGAAAAAGACUUCUAUUGAAUGUGAUUUGUAUGUAAGCUUUGUGAUGUAGAAGCUAGGGAGAGCACCCAUUCUCCGCUUGGGUUGCAGACAGUCCUUGCAUCUCACCUGGCAAAUUUGCCUGCCUGCUUAGAUAGAAAUAGAGUGCAGAAGAACCGGAGCACUUGGCAACUGUGGCUGGCAAUGAGGAUCAACUCUUUGCCGGCUCUAGUCUAUCACCGGCAUGCAGAGAAGAUCAGGGCCAAGAUGCAUAUUUAUGAUCUCUGAAUGAAUGUGCCUUCCCCACCUGCCCACGGGGAGCUCUCCCGUGAGGCUCUCUCGCCAGCCACACUUCUCUGCUCUGACGGAUGGAGCUGACUGGGCAAAUUGCUAUGCUGAUGAACCGCUCAGCUACCUGAAAAGUUAUUCAAAUCAGGACCUAGAGGUCUGGGUGUCACUGUGCUCAUUGAAAAAAGGAAACCAAGAAGCUGAACCGAAAGCACUUAAAGGAAGGAUGCAUUACCUUAAAAUAUGCAGAUGGAAAAUUGACAUGAUUGUCAAUGUCACAAGUCACCUUUCUGGGUAAACAUUUACCUCUGGG